GUCCUUGCUAUAAUCAUCGUCAUCGUAUAUAUUGUUGUGUCUCUGAGCUCGUUGCUGCUAUUGUAUUUCACAAUAAAAGUAGUCGCGGCAAAUAUUACAGUGACUGUGUCGGUCUGCGUAGCCAGACACCAUUUAUUUCUACAAAAUUCUAUACCUGUAUCUGUGGAAUAAGGAAUUCGAUCGACUUGUAAUCGCGCGCGUCGUCCGUUGUGAAUAAAUAUUUAAUGCGCCGGUGAACGAGCUGUGUCUUUGUCAGCAGACUACGAGACACAACAAACCUUCACUGUUUGAUCAUCGAGACGUCCCGCGUCGUUGGCGUAUUGCGAAAACUCGGCACGAGACUGCUGAUUAGGUUUCUCGUAACGUUUGCUAGUUACAUAAUUGUUAUUAUAACAACAAUGAUCCACACAACGAACUAAUUUUGUACCACCAUGCGAUAGCUCUAUAUUCGCAGAAGCAAAUACGUAAUAUCUAGAAUGUAAUACAUAAUGAUUAAUCGUAUUUAUUCGUUGGGAUAUCGAUUACGUUGCAAGGGUACGAUAAAGGCAUGACGAACCAUACACGUAGAUCCGUUCAGUUGUCACUGAUUGUCAAUAGAGGCUGACUGUUAUUUGCGAAUCAGUUAACAAUGCAGCUGCUUGAAGAUCGUGCGUGGGUCGUGGAAUCGAUAUCAGUUCCAAGAAUUUAUUCAAACGUUUCCGACUCGUAUGGGCGUGCUUGCUACGUUGUGGAAAAACGUGUCUUUCUCGGAAUUGUGAUCAUCGAAAUGUUCUAUGAUCCUGAAAAGGUAACGGAUGUUACCCUAUGGCACGACUGCUUCUAUUCGUGAGUGUGCGACACGUCGUGGGAUCGUUGGUGGUACGAUGAGCCUGGGAGUGAGUUUGUCACAUAGUGAUCCACUGUUUAAGGAUUUAUUUAUUGUAAAUACGUAUUUGCUUUUCUUAUUAAUGAGAACAGUGGUGGGUUAAUGAUUGUCGAAGUUUAUUAUUGCAACUUAGGGUUUUCCACGAAGCAGACGGCUCGAUGAAUUUUAUUUGGCUUGUCACUUUGCGUAGUUACAGAAAAUUCCGCCAGGGGCUCGAUUCGUGGACUUGUCUGUUGCGCGGGAAUUUGAGAUUUAUUGUAAAAGAAAAAUAACUGAGUAACUUUAAAAAGACGAAAAGUAAUAUAUAAUUUAAUUUGUAUCGCAAGAAAAUUUGUUUGGUUUGUAAUAGUGCACAUGCGUACAU